CACAUGCAGUCGAACGGAUCCUUCGGGAUUAGUGGCGGACGGGUGAGUAACACGUGGGAACGUGCCCUUUGGUUCGGAACAACUCAGGGAAACUUGAGCUAAUACCGGAUAAGCCUUUCGAGGGAAAGAUUUAUCGCCAUUGGAGCGGCCCGCGUAGGAUUAGCUAGUUGGUGGGGUAAAGGCCCACCAAGGCUACGAUCCUUAGCUGGUCUGAGAGGAUGAUCAGCCACAUUGGGACUGAGACACGGCCCAAACUCCUACGGGAGGCAGCAGUGGGGAAUCUUGCGCAAUGGGCGAAAGCCUGACGCAGCCAUGCCGCGUGAAUGAUGAAGGUCUUAGGAUUGUAAAAUUCUUUCACCGGGGACGAUAAUGACGGUACCCGGAGAAGAAGCCCCGGCUAACUUCGUGCCAGCAGCCGCGGUAAUACGAAGGGGGCUAGCGUUGCUCGGAAUUACUGGGCGUAAAGGGAGCGUAGGCGGAUAGUUUAGUCAGAGGUGAAAGCCCAGGGCUCAACCUUGGAAUUGCCUUUGAUACUGGCUAUCUUGAGUACGGAAGAGGUAUGUGGAACUCCGAGUGUAGAGGUGAAAUUCGUAGAUAUUCGGAAGAACA
rnacentral:rRNA from 1 species